UUUAACAAUUUAAAUGAGAGCAUGAACUUUAUACAUAAAGAGAACAAAUCAUAUAAUUAUUUUUACAUACAGAGUGGAUAAAAUAUGGCUGAAAUGAUCAUGUUUUUAUAUAUUUUGAUUCUAUCCCAUUACUUAUUUCUUUCCUUAGCACAUCUUAAUGGAGUACAUAUUAUAUGUGAAACAGAUGAUGAUUGUCCAACAUCAAUGGUCAGCUAUAUGCGUAUUAAGUGCGUUGGUAACUACUGUUGUGGAAUUGUUACAAUUCAUUGAACCACCCAAAAGAGUUCCAAAAUAUGCUAUAAGGAGACUAAAUUUUCAUGCUAAAAAAGAUAAAUAUGUAACAUACCUUAUAAUAGGAUAUCUCAUAGAUUGUCAUUAAAUUAUUGUAUUAGUACCUUAUAAUUUUUCCCCAAUUUUAUAAAUGUUGCAUAUAUGACUUUGCAAUGUAAAAUGAAGCAAAGUGUUAUUUCAA